rnacentral:rRNA from 1 species
UACGUAGAUGGCGAGCGUUGUCCGGAAUUACUGGGUGUAAAGGGAGCGUAGGCGGGAAGACAAGUUGCGUGUGAAAGGUAUGGGCUCAACCCAUAGACUGCGCGCAAAACUGUUUUUCUUGAGUGAAGUAGAGGCAAGCGGAAUUCCCGGUGUAGCGGUGGAAUGCGUAGAUAUCGGGAGGAACACCAGUGGCGAAGGCGGCUUGCUGGGCUUUUACUGACGCUGAGGCUCGAAAGCGUGGGGAGCAAAC